rnacentral:rRNA from 1 species
CACCCUACGGGGGGCAGCAGUGGGGAAUAUUGCACAAUGGGGGAAACCCUGAUGCAGCAACGCCGCGUGAGUGAUGACGGCCUUCGGGUUGUAAAGCUCUGUCUUCAGGGACGAUAAUGACGGUACCUGAGGAGGAAGCCACGGCUAACUACGUGCCAGCAGCCGCGGUAAUACGUAGGGGGCAAGCGUUAUCCGGAUUUACUGGGUGUAAAGGGAGCGCAGGCGGCUUUGCAAGUCUGAUGUGAAAGGCCAGGGCUCAACCCUGGGACUGCAUUGGAAACUGUAAAGCUAGAGUGCCGGAGAGG